GUGCCUGUUUCAAAUGCACAUAAACUAAAAAAAGUGCAAAUUAGAGAAGAUCAGCAUGGCCCCUGCGUAAUGAUAACUCGCAAAAUCGCGAUUCGUUACGCAUUUUU